GUGGGGAAUCUUGCGCAAUGGGCGAAAGCCUGACGCAGCCAUGCCGCGUGAAUGAUGAAGGUCUUAGGAUUGUAAAAUUCUUUCACCGGGGACGAUAAUGACGGUACCCGGAGAAGAAGCUCCGGCUAACUUCGUGCCAGCAGCCGCGGUAAUACGAAGGGGGCUAGCGUUGCUCGGAAUUACUGGGCGUAAAGGGCGCGUAGGCGGACAGCUUAGUCAGAGGUGAAAGCCCAGGGCUCAACCUUGGAAUUGCCUUUGAUACUGGCUGUCUUGAGUUUGGGAGAGGUGAGUGGGACUCCGAGUGUAGAGGUGAAAUUCGUAGAUAUUCGGAAGAACACCAGUGGCGAAGGCGACUCACUGGCCCAAUACUGACGCUGAGGCGCGAAAGCGUGGGGAGCAAACAGGAUUAGAAACCCCUGUAGUCC
rnacentral:rRNA from 1 species